UACGUAGGGGGCAAGCGUUGUCCGGAAUUAUUGGGCGUAAAGCGCUUGUAGGUGGCUUUUUGCGUCUGCCGUGAAAACCCGAGGCUCAACCUCGGACGUGCGGUGGAUACGGGCAGGCUAGAGUGUGGUAGGGGAGACUGGAACUCCUGGUGUAGCGGUGAAAUGCGCAGAUAUCAGGAAGAACACCGAUGGCGAAGGCAGGUCUCUGGGCCGUUACUGACACUGAGAAGCGAAAGCAUGGGGAGCGAACAGG
rnacentral:rRNA from 1 species